rnacentral:misc_RNA from 1 species
CAGGCCUCAAAAGAUGAUUUCGCAUUCCUUUAUUUUCCAUUCUAUAUUGAAAUAUAUACAGAUUUGUGGGAUUAUUGUAAUUGUACAAGAUUUUAGGAGUUUGUAUAUCUACUCGGAAGCUAAAUAGGCUGCAAAAUUAAACACAACUGUGAAGCCAAAAGGGUAAUACUCUCCCAAAACGCUAGGGGCCUUGAGUGGAUUCAUCGCGGUUACGUUGAUGACUCUUGAAAGCAUAGUUAUGUCUCAAACUCUCGAUCCAUAUGUUAUUAACCUACACAUGCCACAUCCACACCAUGCUGCGUGUUCCUUAACAUGCUCUUCUUAUAAGAUGACUCGGAGCGUUUUAAAUCUUCCAAGUUUCUAUCACAGGUACUGGCUGAGAGGCAAAUUCCAUCAUAUCCCCUGAGAGGCAACUUUGUGGAUCAUGUCUGAAAGCCUUUAUAAGUCUCCUUUAAGCGACUGGAAUUCUAGUUGCUCAUGAAAAUCCUCAUAUGGUGAAGAUUCACUAGAAGAAUCACUUUCAAAUGGUUCAAAUGGAGUGGUUUCCCUUGGAGACGAUGGAAGUGAAUCUCUUUGUGAUGAGGUUGAACCUUUCUGUCCUCUUGAGCGGAAUUUCUUUGUGUGCCGCCUGAUAAGCUUCUUAGCCUUUGUUAUUGUUAGUUGCCUAGCAAAAGGAGAGAACUCUACAUCACUUUCACUCCACUCGCCAUGGAAAUCAUUCUCUGCUUCACCCCUCAUAGUUCGCAGCAC